rnacentral:rRNA from 1 species
AGUGAACGCUGGCGGUAGGCCUAACACAUGCAAGUCGAACGGCAGCACAGUAAGAGCUUGCUCUUACGGGUGGCGAGUGGCGGACGGGUGAGGAAUACAUCGGAAUCUACUUUUUCGUGGGGGAUAACGUAGGGAAACUUACGCUAAUACCGCAUACGACCUACGGGUGAAAGCAGGGGAUCUUCGGACCUUGCGCGAUUGAAUGAGCCGAUGUCGGAUUAGCUAGUUGGCGGGGUAAAGGCCCACCAAGGCGACGAUCCGUAGCUGGUCUGAGAGGAUGAUCAGCCACACGGGAACUGAGACACGGUCCAGACUCCUACGGGAGGCAGCAGGGGGGAAUAUUGGACAAUGGGCGCAAGCCUGAUCCAGCCAUACCGCGUGGGUGAAGAAGGCCUUCGGGUUGUAAAGCCCUUUUGUUGGGAAAGAAAAGCAGCAGGUUAAUACCCCGCUGUUCUGACGGUACCCAAAGAAUAAGCACCGGCUAACUUC